rnacentral:tRNA from 1 species
GGGGCGGUGGCGGAAUGGCAGACGCUGCGGACUUAAAAUCCGCUGGAGGCAACUCCAUGAGGGUUCGACUCCCUCCCGCCCUA